UCUCCUGGGAAACGGGUGGUAAUGCCGGAUGCUCCAGUUGAUCGCAUGGUCUUCUGGGAAAGCUUUCGCGGUAUGGGAUGGGGUCGCGUCCUAUCAGCUUGACGGCGGGGUAACGGCCCACCGUGGCUUCGACGGGUAGCCGGCCUGAGAGGGCGACCGGCCACAUUGGGACUGAGAUACGGCCCAGACUCCUACGGGAGGCAGCAGUGGGGAAUAUUGCACAAUGGGCGCAAGCCUGAUGCAGCGACGCCGCGUGAGGGAUGGAGGCCUUCGGGUUGUAAACCUCUUUUAUCGGGGAGCAAGCGAGAGUGAGUUUACCCGUUGAAUAAGCACCGGCUAACUACGUGCCAGCAGCCGCGGUAAUACGUAGGGUGCAAGCGUUAUCCGGAAUUAUUGGGCGUAAAGGGCUCGUAGGCGGUUCGUCGCGUCCGGUGUGAAAGUCCAUCGCUUAACGGUGGAUCCGCGCCGGGUACGGGCGGGCUUGAGUGCGGUAGGGGAGACUGGAAUUCCCGGUGUAACGGUGGAAUGUGUAGAUAUCGGAAAAGAACACCA
rnacentral:rRNA from 1 species